GACGAACGCUGGCGGCGUGCUUAACACAUGCAAGUCGAACGCUGAAGCUUGGUGCUUGCACUGGGUGGUUGAGUGGCGAACGGGUGGGUAAUACGUGAGUAACCUGCCCUUGACUCUGGGAUAAGCCUGGGAAACUGGGUCUAAUACUGGAUACGACAUGUCACCGCAUGGUGGUGUGUGGAAAGGGUUUUACUGGUUUUGGAUGGGCUCACGGCCUAUCAGCUCGUUGGUGGGGUAAUGGCUCACCAAGGCGACGACGGGUAGCCGGCCUGAGAGGGUGACCGGCCACACUGGGACUGAGACGAGGCCCAGACUCCAACGGGAGGCAGCAGUGGGGAAUAGUACACUAUGGGCGGAGGCCUGAUGCAGCGAAGCAGCGUGAGGGAAGACGGCAUUCGGGUUGUGAACCUCUUUCAGCACGGAAGAAGCGAAAAUGACGGUACGUGCAGAAGAAGCGCCGGCUAACUACGUG
rnacentral:rRNA from 1 species